rnacentral:lncRNA from 13 species
AUAACAUACAGGCACAGAGAAAAGACCAUGUGAGGACACAGCAGGAAGGAGCCAUCUGCAAAUCUAGGAGUGAGGACUCACUAGAAACCAACCUUGCUCACACCCUAAUCUUGGACUUUUAGCCUCCAGAAUGGUGAGAAAAUAAAGUCUGUUGUUUUAAUCA